GGUGCUCAUCUGAAAGCCUUAGGAAGAGCAUGUGAACAGAAACCUGGCAUUUCCCUGUUUGCUGCCUCUACCAUGUGAGAGUAAUUCUCUACCUUUCCAGUUGCUGUGAUGGUUGCAGGCCUAGUGAUCGGCUUGCCUGUACUCCAACAAGCUGAAAAGGACCAAACUGAGACUGUUUUACCCCCUGAGGACUUGCUUUUGUCAUCUUCCUCUUGAACUGUGAAGGAGAGAUGUAGAGAUAAUCACCAGACAGACAAUGUGAUGACCAAACAAGGCGGUGACUGUUGAACCAGAACUCCCGUUGGAAGGAGACACUUACUGUUCAAACUGCAAUGCCUUUGCUUCUUCCGUUCUUAGAUUGUUCUGGAUGCUCCUGGGAUCAUAGAACCUGGCACAACAUGAGAAGCAAUCGUUACGAUGGUUUUUGAAUGAACAGUUUGACGUUGAGCCUUCCCUGACAUUGACAUGGCUCCCUGGAAGUCAGCAGACAGCCAAAGAAGGACAACUGCAUUAACCAUGUGUGGCUUGGAAACGAUGACUGAGACUGACUGAUGGCAUUGCCAUGUGCCACACUUACUUAUGUGUAGUAACCGUGUUACCCUGCAUGGUGCUGUAUCAACAUGUAAAAGUGUCACUCAGAAAUUGUUAGCUGUAACACAUAGGCUUCAUUUCUCUUCCAGAGGGGGCUAUGAUUUUUGUUUCUGCCUAAUUUAUGUCCUAGUUUACCAGUUUGUUCAUCUCUCAGUCAUGGCUCUUGGACUCUUUACUCUUGAAAGGAAAAUGUCAUCUUUAUAGUAGCUUUCUUAUGUGAAAUUCAGUAAUAAGAGGUAAAAGAGUCCUUUCCACUUUCUUGUGUGAUGGGCCAAAUGUCUGUUGCUUUUAGGUUUUAAUUACAACUUUCCAUAUUAAUCAAACUGUUAACGUGUACUGCAGUUGGUAAUUGUUGAGCAGAGGAUGACGAUGACGUGCACAGGAAUUCACCCGUGUGUAGGGAGAUUACAAAACAAUUUGUAGGGGUGCCACUGGCAAUCUUGGCACAAAAUCACUGGCACACAGUUUGCCAUACAAGUACUGUCUUAGACCAGUGGUCCAUCAAGUCCAAUUUCUUGCCUCCAGCAUUGCACAAGAUGUACUGCUGUACUUUACUUACUCUGUUCAAAAUACAUUAACACCUUAUAAGAGAGAAAUGAAGACAGCCAGAAUGGAAAUACAUGAGAACAAGUGUUUCCUUUGCAGUCACGAAUUCUCUAGUCAUCGGACUUCUUAAAAUCUCCUUCCUGUCCCCUGGUGCCUAUCCUCCUACCCAUUGGCUUCUCCUGAACAUCAGCAGGCUGUGGUCCCAAAGACUGAGAAUAUUUCAAAGGCAAAUAUGCUUUGAAUAUCCUGUUAGUGGGCUUCUUUCUUCCAGUUUUAUCCUAUAAGUUAAGGUAGUUGUAGUGAAAUAAUAUAGAGAGAUAAGUGACUUCUUAAUGAGGAUGGAAUGUGUAAGUUGGGCUUUAAACAUCAGCAUCUUACUCUAAAAAUGCUUCUAUACUUACAUAGUAAAAUAGGAAAUAAUGGAACUGUACAUUACCCAUUUAUAUUUUGUGGCUCAUUUUCAGCAGGGCUUAAUCCAGUCUUUGAUUGGGUAUCUCUGUAUACCUCCUGUUUCUGACUUGAAAUAAACCAUACAUACUGGUAUUAGGAAUUAAAAGCCUUUAAAAAUCUUUUGGACCUACUACCAUUUGAACCACAAAAGGGGAGCUGCCAAAUUGCUCUCAUAAAUAUCAACAAGUUAAGUCUGGUAUGGAAAUAAGAACUAGAGUGAUUAAGAAUUGAUUUGCAAAGCAAGGAUUGCAGACUUGUUUGUUUUCCCACACCUGCGCUCCACUUCAGAAGUACAAUGAAGCAAGGCACAACGCACCUUUCCCCUAAUUGGAUAAUGUACUCAAGGGAAUAUGAUCAACAGAGGCUUUUAAGAUCACACCACCAUUUGCCCAAUUAUCAUACCUAAUGACAACACAUUGUUCCUGCAAAAUGCGUCUUUAUUCCCUGGUAGGUUACAUUUCCUUUCAGCCUUUUACCUAUUGAUCCAGCAGUACCUCAUGUAGAACAAAUUUCUUUGUUGGCAAGUCUUGAUUACAAACUCAGAAAAAUCUUUUAUGUCCUCUUCUCAAUAUCUGACUAAGUACGUAAGAGAAGGUCAGUUUAGCAUCCUUGGAAACAGACUCCAGUGCUGAGAUAUUAGACCAGCUUAAAGAGCUGAUAGAAAAAACAAUUAAAGUGACGAAGAGGUAUUUUAUUUAAAGACAAUUCAUAUCCUCCAGCUCAAAUAAAAAAUACCGUUUUUAGAACUA